rnacentral:rRNA from 1 species
AGUGAACGCUGGCGGUAGGCCUAACACAUGCAAGUCGAACGGCAGCACAGUAAGAGCUCGCUCUUACGGGUGCCGAGUGGCGGAUGGGUGAGGAAUACAUCGGAAUCUACUUUUUCGUGGGGGAUAACGUAGGGACACUUACGCUAAUACCGCAUACGACCUACGGGUGAAAGCAGGGGAUCUUCGGACCUUGCGCGAUUGAAUGAGCCGAUGUCGGAUUAGCUAGUUGGCGGGGUAAAGGCCCACCAAGGCGACGAUCCGUAGCUGGUCUGAGAGGAUGAUCAGCCACACUGGAACUGAGACACGGUCCAGACUCCUACGGGAGGCAGCAGUGGGGAAUAUUGGACAAUGGGCGAAAGCCUGAUCCAGCCAUACCGCGUGGGUGAAGAAGGCCUUCGGAUUGUAAAGCCCUUUUGUUUGGAAGGAAGAGCAGCAGGUUAAUACCCCGCUGUUCUGACGGUACCAAAAGAAUAAGCACCGGCUAACUUCGUG